rnacentral:rRNA from 1 species
AGUAAUGCUUGGGAACUUGCCUUUGCGAGGGGGAUAACAGUUGGAAACGACUGCUAAUACCGCAUAAUGUCUUCGGACCAAACGGGGCUUCGGCUCCGGCGCAAAGAGAGGCCCAAGUGAGAUUAGCUAGUUGGUGAGGUAAAGGCUCACCAAGGCAACGAUCUCUAGCUGUUCUGAGAGGAAGAUCAGCCACACUGGGACUGAGACACGGCCCAGACUCCUACGGGAGGCAGCAGUGGGGAAUAUUGCACAAUGGGGGAAACCCUGAUGCAGCCAUGCCGCGUGUGUGAAGAAGGCCUUCGGGUUGUAAAGCACUUUCAGUUGUGAGGAAAAGUUAGUAGUUAAUACCUGCUAGCCGUGACGUUAACAACAGAAGAAGCACCGGCUAACUCCGUGCCAGCAGCCGCGGUAAUACGGAGGGUGCGAGCGUUAAUCGGAAUUACUGGGCGUAAAGCGCACGCAGGCGGUUUGUUAAGCUAGAUGUGAAAGCCCCGGGCUCAACCUGGGACGGUCAUUUAGAACUGGCAGACUAGAGUCUUGGAGAGGGGAGUGGAAUUCCAGGUGUAGCGGUGAAAUGCGUAGAUAUCUGGAGGAACAUCAGUGGCGAAGGCGACUCCCUGGCCAAAGACUGACGCUCAUGUGCGAAAGUGUGGGUAGCGAACAGGAUUAGAUACCCUGGUAGUCCACACCGUAAACGCUGUCUACUAGCUGUUUGUGACUUUAAGUCGUGAGUAGCGAAGCUAACGCGAUAAGUAGACCGCCUGGGAGUACGG